CAUGCAGUCGAACGAUGAAGCCUGGCUUGCUGGGUGGAUUAGUGGCGAACGGGUGAGUAACACGUGAGUAACCUGCCCUUGACUCUGGGAUAAGCGCUGGAAACGGCGUCUAAUACCGGAUAUGACCUGCCCCGGCAUCGGGUGUGGGUGGAAAGUUUUUCGGUCAAGGAUGGACUCGCGGCCUAUCAGCUUGUUGGUGAGGUAAUGGCUCACCAAGGCGACGACGGGUAGCCGGCCUGAGAGGGUGACCGGCCACACUGGGACUGAGACACGGCCCAGACUCCUACGGGAGGCAGCAGUGGGGAAUAUUGCACAAUGGGCGAAAGCCUGAUGCAGCAACGCCGCGUGGGGGAUGACGGCCUUCGGGUUGUAAACCUCUUUUAGUAGGGAAGAAGGGCUUCGGCUUGACGGUACCUGCAGAAAAAGCACCGGCUAACUACGUGCCAGCAGCCGCGGUAAUACGUAGGGUGCAAGCGUUGUCCGGAAUUAUUGGGCGUAAAGAGCUCGUAGGCGGUUUGUCGCGUCUGCUGUGAAAACCCGAGGCUCAACCUCGGGCCUGCAGUGGGUACGGGCAGACUAGAGUGCGGUAGGGGAGAAUGGAAUUCCUGGUGUAGCGGUGGAAUGCGCAGAUAUCAGGAGGAACACCGAUGGCGAAGGCAGUUCUCUGGGCCGUUACUGACGCUGAGGAGCGAAAGCGUGGGGAGCGAACAGGAUUAGAUACCCUGGUAGUCCACGCCGUAAACGUUGGGAACUAGAUGUGGGGGCCUUUCCACGGUCUCCGUGUCGCAGCUAACGCAUUAAGUUCCCCGCCUGGGGAGUACGGCCGCAAGGCUAAAACUCAAAGGAAUUGACGGGGGCCCGCACAAGCGGCGGAGCAUGCGGAUUAAUUCGAUGCAACGCGAAGAACCUUACCAAGGCUUGACAUAUACCGGAAACUUCCAGAGAUGGUUGCCCCGCAAGGUCGGUAUACAGGUGGUGCAUGGUUGUCGUCAGCUCGUGUCGUGAGAUGUUGGGUUAAGUCCCGCAACGAGCGCAACCCUCGUUCUAUGUUGCCAGCACGUUAUGGUGGGAACUCAUAGGAGACUGCCGGGGUCAACUCGGAGGAAGGUGGGGAUGACGUCAAAUCAUCAUGCCCCUUAUGUCUUGGGCUUCACGCAUGCUACAAUGGCCGGUACAAAGGGCUGCGAUACCGUAAGGUGGAGCGAAUCCCAAAAAGCCGGUCUCAGUUCGGAUUGAGGUCUGCAACUCGACCUCAUGAAGUCGGAGUCGCUAGUAAUCGCAGAUCAGCAACGCUGCGGUGAAUACGUUCCCGGGCCUUGUACACACCGCCCGUCAAGUCAUGAAAGUCGGUAACACCCGAAGCCAGUGGCCUAACCGUA
rnacentral:rRNA from 1 species